rnacentral:rRNA from 1 species
GAUGAAGCAGGUUUAAUAUUCCUGCACCGGCUGUGGAUUAGCACGAGAGAGACGUGUUUCCGGAGCCCCGCUGGCGAUUGAAAGUGCCAGCCCCGCAAGGGGACGGAGAGGCCUCGGCCGAACCGGAUGGGGUAAAGGGAGCACCAAGAAAACCUUUCGUGUAUGCCACGGUUGCCCGUACCGCAAACCGACACAGGUGGGUGAGUAGAAUAUACUAAUGGCGCGUGAGUGAAACCUCGUUAAGGAACUCGGCAAUCUAGCCCCGUAACUUCGGAAGAAGGGGUGCCGGUCGCAAGACCGGUCGCAGUGAAAUGGGUCAACCGACUGUUUAACAAAAACACAGCACUCUGCCAAGUCGUGAAGACGACGUAUAGGGUGUGACACGUGACCAAUGCGGAAAGAUUACGGUAAGUGGUUAGGCGCAAGCCGAAGCUACGAGCCCAAGUCCCCGUGAAUGUCGGCCGUAACUAUAACGGUCCUAAGGUAGCGAAAUUCCUUGUCGGGUAAGUUCCGACCUGCACGAAUCGUGUAACGAGUUGACCGCUGUCUCAACGAGGAGCUCAGCGAAGUUGUAAUGGCGGUGAAGAUGCCGCCUACCCGCAGCAGGACGGAAAGACCCUAUGCAUCUUUACUGUACGCUGUUACUGUGUUUUCGGUUUUUAUGCUUAGCGUAAGUGGGAGACUUUGACAUCGAUCUUUCGGGGUCGAUUGAGUCGCCAAUGAAACACCACCCUUAGGAACUGGAAACACUAACCUCGAGACCCCUUACCGGGGCGAGGGACACUGGCAGCCGGUCAGUUUUACUGGGGCGGUAUCCUCCCAAAGAGUAACGGAGGAGUGCGAAGUUUGGCUCAACCCGGUUGGCAAUCGGGUGUCGAGUACAUGGAUAUAAGCCAGACUAACUGUGAGACCUACAAGUCGAGCAGAUGCGAAAGCAGGCCCAAGUGAUCCGGUGGUUGAAUGUGGAAUUGCCAUCGCUCAACGGACAAAAGGUACGCUAGGGAUAACAGGCUGAUCGGAUCCAAGAGCUCAUAUCGACGAUCCGGUUUGGCACCUCGAUGUCGGCUCAUCACAUCCUGGGGCUGGAGAAGGUCCCAAGGGUCCGGCUGUUCGCCGGUUAAAGUGGUACGCGAGCUGGGUUCAGAACGUCGCGAGACAGUUCGGUCCUUAUCCGCUGUGGGCGCCAGGAGAAUUGAGGGGUUCAAACCUUAGUACGAGAGGACCGGGUUUGACGAACCGCUGGUGUUCCGGUUGUCCUGUCAAGGGCAUUGCCGGGUAGCUAUGUUCGGAAAGGAUAAGCGCUGAAAGCAUCUAAGCGCCAAGCCUCUCCCAAGAUGAAUUCUCCCUGAAGGGUCGUGGUAGACCACCACGUUGAUAGACCACGGGUGCAAGCGUAGUAUACGUUUUUCAAGCUCAGUGGCACUAAUUACCCGUUCGGCUUGGUCUC